GCAUAACGCGAAGAACCUUACCAGGUCUUGACAUCCUAGAAACUUUCCAGAGAUGGAUUGGUGCCUUCGGGAAUCUAGAGACAGGUGCUGCAUGGCUGCCGUCAGCUCGUGUCGUGAGAUGUUGGGUUAAGUCCCGUAACGAGCGCAACCCUUGUCCUUAGUUGCCAGCGCGUAAUGGCGGGAACUCUAAGGAGACUGCCGGUGACAAACCGGAGGAAGGUGGGGAUGACGUCAAGUCAUCAUGGCUCUUACGACCUGGGCUACACACGUGCUACAAUGGGCGGUACAAAGGGUUGCCAAACCGCGAGGUGGAGCUAAUCCCAUAAAACCGUUCGUAGUCCGGAUUGGAGUCUGCAACUCGACUCCAUGAAGUCGGAAUCGCUAGUAAUCGCAAAUCAGAACGUUGCGGUGAAUACGUUCCCGGGUCUUGUACACACCG
rnacentral:rRNA from 1 species